UACGUAGGGGGCAAGCGUUGUUCGGAAUUCCUGGGCGUAAAGCGCGCGUAGGCGGACUGGCAAGUCAGAUGUGAAAGCCCCGGGCUCAACUUGGGAACUGCAUUUGAUACUGCCAGACUAGAGUACAGAAGAGGUGACUGGAAUUCCCAGUGUAGCGGUGAAAUGCGUAGAUAUUGGGAGGAACACCAGAUGCGAAGGCGGGUCACUGGGCUGAUACUGACGCUGAGGCGCGAAAGCCAGGGGAGCGAACGGG
rnacentral:rRNA from 1 species